rnacentral:rRNA from 1 species
UGGCGGCGUGCUAACACAUGCAAGUCGAACGCGAAAGGGGACUUCGGUCCUGAGUAAAGUGGCGCACGGGUGAGUAACGCGUAGAUAACCUGUCUUCAUGUCUGGAAUAAUACGCCGAAAGGGGUACUAAUACCGGAUAUUCUUGCUUUUCAUAAGUUAUGCAAGCAAAGGUGGCCUCUGCAUAUGCUACUGCAUGAAGAGGGGUCUGCGUACCAUUAGCUAGUAGGUGGGGUAAUGGCCUACCUAGGCGACGAUGGUUAGCGGGUCUGAGAGGAUGAUCCGCCACACUGGCACUGGAACACGGGCCAGACUCCUACGGGAGGCAGCAGUGAGGAAUAUUGCGCAAUGGGGGAAACCCUGACGCAGCGACGCCGCGUGAGUGAGGAAGGCCUUCGGGUCGUAAAGCUCUGUCAAGAGGAAAGAAGUGUACAAUGGCUAAUACCUGUUGUAUUUGACGGUACCUCUAAAGGAAGCACCGGCUAACUCCGUGCCAGCCGCCGC